AGAAAAAUAUGAAAUAUUAAAGGAACCCAAGAAAACACAGCAAAAUGAAGCCUCGCCUUGGUUAUGAACAUUUCUGACAAUCAGCACUUAAGAAAUGUAGAAAUUGUCAACCCUCAGUUGUGGAUGUUGUCAAGUUUAAGCAUGAGGUUUUGAAUUCUUAAGCCAAUAAUAAACUAUAAGCCUCUUCGGUAUUCCAGUUGCUUGGUAUUCUCCAGCAACACUUCACCAAUGUAAUUUGCUAUUGCCUUGCAGCCUUCAAUAGCAAGUUGCAUAACAUUUUCAAAGAUAUCAACUGGCAACUUUGCAUCCAUCUGAAGAAGUGUCACUUUGUCCAACUUAGGUAAAAUUCCAACUGUAAUAUCUGCACCUCCUGCACUGUCUUCAACAUAGUUCAAAUCAAGCAGAGGAGUGCUAUUGAGGUAUCCAGCACUACAAGAAGUAACAAGAUCACGCAUGGGGAUUCCAGCAUCUGCUAGAGCCAAAGUAGCAGCAUUGAUACAUGCAGAUCUAGUUCCUCCAUCUGCUUGAAGAACUUGUACAUAAAUAUCUAUCUGAGAACGAGGCAUCAAGUGUGUCAAUAUGCAUGCUUCCAUUGUCUGGCGAAUAACUAGAGAAAUUUCUGUUGAUCGCCUAUCACCCUUAGGUUUCCUCAUGCGAUCUCCAGUACUAAAAUUAGCCAUGCUGUACUCACAGCGCACCAAUGCCUGGUCACUAAUCUGUUGA
rnacentral:misc_RNA from 1 species